UGGGGGGAUGCCCGACAUAUCCGCUGCCGACUAGACGAAUACGUCGGUAUUAGUUUUUAGCAGCUCCGCUAGCUACCGUCGCUCGGGGUCGGGUAAUUGAGACCCGACCCAGACCACUCGCUCGGAAUUCUCUGUUAUCAGGAUGGGAACAAGCUGUUCGGCCGGUUCACCCCGUUCUUCUUCUUUCCGUUGGUCCAGCUUGUCGACCGUCAGGGAGCUCUUCGGUUCGUCGCUUUGAGCAG
rnacentral:lncRNA from 1 species